UUUGUGGGGUACGGCCCNCNANGNCUUCNACGGGUAGUCUCGGCCCUGNAAAGGGUGACCGGCCACACUGGGNACUGAGAACACGGCCCAGACUCCUACGGGAGGCAGCAGUGGGGAAUAUUGGACAAUGGGCGAAAGCCUGAUCCAGCAACGCCGCGUGAGGGAUGACGGCCUUCGGGUUGUAAACCUCUUUCAGCGCAGACGAAGGAAAGUGACGGUAUGCGCAGAAGAAGCACCGGCCAACUACGUGCCAGCAGCCGCGGUAAUACGUAGGGUGCGAGCGUUGUCCGGAAUUAUUGGGCGUAAAGGGCUCGUAGGCGGUUUGUUGCGUCAGGAGCGAAAACUCGGGGCUUAACCCCGAGCCUGCUUCUGAUACGGGCAGACUAGAGGUAUGCAGGGGAGAACGGAAUUCCUGGUGUAGCGGUGAAAUGCGCAUAUAUCAGGAGGAACACCGGUGGCGAAGGCGGUUCUCUGGGCAUUACCUGACGCUGAGGAGCGAAAGUGUGGGGAGCGAACAGGAUUAGAUACCCUGGUAGUCCACACCAUAAACGUUGGGCGCUAGGUGUGGGACUCAUUCCACGAGUUCCGUGCCGCAGCUAACGCAUUAAGCGCCCCGCCUGNNGAGUACGGCCGCAAGGCUAAAACUCAAANGAAUUGACGGGUGGCCCGCACAAGCGGCGGAGCAUGCNGAUUA
rnacentral:rRNA from 1 species